rnacentral:sRNA from 1 species
AGCGGAAGGAAGAGGCAGGGCCCAGCAUGGAGAAACCCCGUUCUAGCAGGACCUCCAGGGGCCAGUGUCCCCAGAAAGGGGAGGGGUCCAUGUGUCACCUUGCUCUUAGCCUCCACAGAGACCCUGACCCCCACCCCCGAGCGGAAUGAGGGUGUCUACGCAGCCAUCGCAGUGCAGGAGAUGCAGGGAAACCCGGCCUCGCCAGCCCAGGAGUACAGGGCGCUCUACGAUUAUACAGCGCAGAACCCAGAUGAGCUGGACCUCUCCGCGGGAGACAUCCUGGAGGUGAUCCUGGAAGGGGAGGAUGGCUGGUGGACUGUGGAGAGGAACGGGCAGCGUGGCUUCGUCCCUGGUUCCUACCUGGAGAAGCUUUGAGGAAAGGCCAGGAGCCCCUUCAAACCUGCCCUGCCAGUGGAGCCAGCAGUGCCCCCAGCACUGUCCCUGCCUUGCUGGGGCCCAGAACCAAGCGUCCCCCAGCCCUGAGAGGGAGCCUGUCUCCCAGGGAAUAAAGGAGUGCGUUCUGUUCUC